AACAGGAUUAGAUACCCUGGUAGUCCACCCCGUAAACGUUGGGAACUAGUUGUGGGGACCAUUCCACGGUUUCCGUGACGCAGCUAACGCAUUAAGUUCCCCGCCUGGGGAGUACGGCCGCAAGGCUAAAACUCAAAGGAAUUGACGGGGACCCGCACAAGCGGCGGAGCAUGCGGAUUAAUUCGAUGCAACGCGAAGAACCUUACCAAGGCUUGACAUAUACGAGAACGGGCCAGAAAUGGUCAACUCUUUGGACACUCGUAAACAGGUGGUGCAUGGUUGUCGUCAGCUCGUGUCGUGAGAUGUUGGGUUAAGUCCCGCAACGAGCGCAACCCUCGUUCUAUGUUGCCAGCACGUAAUGGUGGGAACUCAUGGGAUACUGCCGGGGUCAACUCGGAGGAAGGUGGGGAUGACGUCAAAUCAUCAUGCCCCUUAUGUCUUGGGCUUCACGCAUGCUACAAUGGCCGGUACAAAGGGCUGCAAUACCGUAAGGUGGAGCGAAUCCCAAAAAGCCGGUCCCAGUUCGGAUUGAGGUCUGCAACUCGACCUCAUGAAGUCGGAGUCGCUAGUAAUCGCAGAUCAGCAACGCUGCGGUGAAUACGUUCCCGGGUCUUGUACACACCGCCCGUCAAGUCAUGAAAGUCGGUAACACCUGAAGCCGGUGGCCCAACCCUUGUGGAGGGAGCCGUCGAAGGUGGGAUCGGUAAUUAGGACUAAGUCGUAACAAGGUA
rnacentral:rRNA from 1 species